GUGCCAGCAGCCGCGGUAAUACGGGGGGUGCGAGCGUUAUUCGGAAUUACUGGGCGUAAAGAGCGCGUAGGCGGUCUUUUAAGUCAGGUGUGAAAGCCCGGGGCUCAACCCCGGAAGUGCACUUGAAACUAAGAGACUUGAGUAUGGGAGAGGGAAGUGGAAUUCCUGGUGUAGCGGUGAAAUGCGUAGAUAUCAGGAGGAACAUCAGUGGCGAAGGCGACUUCCUGGACCAAUACUGACGCUGAGGCGCGAAGGCGUGGGGAGCAAACAGGAUUAGAUACCCGGGUAGUCC
rnacentral:rRNA from 1 species